rnacentral:rRNA from 1 species
ACGGAAGGCAGCAGUGGGGAAUAUUGCACAAUGGGGGAAACCCUGAUGCAGCGACGCCGCGUGAAGGAUGAAGUAUUUCGGUAUGUAAACUUCUAUCAGCAAGGAAGAAAAAAGACGGUACUUGACUAAGAAGCCCCGGCUAAAUACGUGCCAGCAGCCGCGGUAAUACGUAUGGGGCAAGCGUUAUCCGGAUUUACUGGGUGUAAAGGGAGCGUAGACGGCAAGACAAGUCAGAAGUGAAAGCCUGGGGCUCAACCCCGGAACUGCUUUUGAAACUGUCUAGCUAGAGUGCAGGAGAGGUAAGUGGAAUUCCUAGUGUAGCGGUGAAAUGCGUAGAUAUUAGGAGGAACACCAGUGGCGAAGGCGGCUUACUGGACUGUAACUGACGUUGAGGCUCGAAAGCGUGGGGAGCAAACAGGAUUAGAUACCCUAGUA